CCAUUUAAAAAAUGUAGCUAAACUGUAUUGGUGAUCACAGACAGACUCUGGAUCUUCAGAAAGGUACCAUCAGCUUGAUUCCAUGGUCUCAAUUCAGAUACAAAUAAUCUUAAAAUUUUGGGAAGAUUCACUGGACUUUGAAUGAGGUCCUGAGUCUUGAGCAAGUGACAGCCUGAAAUACAUCUGUGCAACAGAAUGGGUGCGUGGAUUUCACCAGCGGUAGGAAAGCAGAAGUUAAUGAGGAGGAACCUGUCAUGAAAAGAGAGCUACUGUGGGUGACAGCAGCAGCAGAAGAGUUGACACAGGGCCAUAACACAGUCAGGGGUUCCUGAUUUCCAUCAUGCUGGAGCUAGGCAGAAAAAGCAAGCAGCUGGAAUUUUAUGUGCUGUAUUUCUUUCAGAGACUUAACAGGUCGUUAGGGGAUAAUAGUACCUUUAAAAGACCUGACCAGUAGGAGAGAGAAGAGUCUUGGUUGUUGAAAUUUCUGUAAUUACUCACUCCCGUUGUGCUCCUUGAAGAAAGCAGUGGAAGGAGUUUUGAGGUUGCUGACCUGUCCUUGGAGGAUGGUUUGCAUCCCACAAGGAAGCACACGAAGAUUUAUCUCAGAAGUAGUGAAAGUGAAUACAUAAGGAUUAAAGUAAAUCUCUACAGUAUAUGGAAAAUUGAAUGCUUCGUACAUUUACUGUUCACUACUACAGUUCUUAAACCUUAUUAUAUAAGAGAGAUUUGAAAACUUUUGAAUGUGCUGGAGAAGACUGGUAGGCUGAUUGUGGAAAGAAAACAAAACAAUCAACAAAAUUUUCUCAGAGAUUUAUUCAGUAAGUGAGGUCUGCAUAUUUAAGCCUCUGUCCUCAAAGAAAUUUGGACUUUGGCUUUACAGAAUUUUCAGUAUAUUGGUUAGGCACUCAAGCAUUAUAGACAAUGUAAAUGAACUCAUCUACAAGCAAGCUGUAGAGAAAUUCAAUAUUUUUAUUCCAUGUCUAAAAUGUCAAUUCUAGUUGUGCAGCUCAUGGAUGACUGUCAGAAAGUGAAUUCUAGGCCUCUCUGAUAUUUGUGGGAGCUUUGCCACUGACUGAAACACAAUCACAGUGUUGCUCACAGCUGUUACUAUAGUGAUUGGAACUUAUUUUUGUCUGACAUUGUCAGAGAGUCCUUGGAAGUCUUGUUCCACUUGAUUUCCUGUACACAGUUUCUGA
rnacentral:lncRNA from 1 species